rnacentral:rRNA from 1 species
CGGCAGGCCUAACACAUGCAAGUCGAACGGUAACAGAAAGCAGCUUGCUGCUUUGCUGACGAGUGGCGGACGGGUGAGUAAUGUCUGGGAAACUGCCCGAUGGAGGGGGAUAACUACUGGAAACGGUAGCUAAUACCGCAUAACGUCGCAAGACCAAAGAGGGGGACCUUCGGGCCUCUUGCCAUCGGAUGUGCCCAGAUGGGAUUAGCUAGUAGGUGGGGUAACGGCUCACCUAGGCGACGAUCCCUAGCUGGUCUGAGAGGAUGACCAGCCACACUGGAACUGAGACACGGUCCAGACUCCUACGGGAGGCAGCAGUGGGGAAUAUUGCACAAUGGGCGCAAGCCUGAUGCAGCCAUGCCGCGUGUAUGAAGAAGGCCUUCGGGUUGUAAAGUACUUUCAGCGGGGAGGAAGGGAGUAAAGUUAAUACCUUUGCUCAUUGACGUUACCCGCAGAAGAAGCACCGGCUAACUCCGUGCCAGCAGCCGCGGUAAUACGGAGGGUGCAAGCGUUAAUCGGAAUUACUGGGCGUAAAGCGCACGCAGGCGGUUUGUUAAGUCAGAUGUGAAAUCCCCGGGCUCAACCUGGGAACUGCAUCUGAUACUGGCAAGCUUGAGUCUCGUAGAGGGGGGUAGAAUUCCAGGUGUAGCGGUGAAAUGCGUAGAGAUCUGGAGGAAUACCGGUGGCGAAGGCGGCCCCCUGGACGAAGACUGACGCUCAGGUGCGAAAGCGUGGGGAGCAAACAGGAUUAGAUACCCCUGGUAGUCCACGCCGUAAACGAUGUCGACUUGGAGGUUGUGCCCUUGAGGCGUGGCUUCCGGAGCUAACGCGUUAAGUCGACCGCCUGGGGAGUACGGCCGCAAGGUUAAAACUCAAAUGAAUUGACGGGGGCCCGCACAAGCGGUGGAGCAUGUGGUUUAAUUCGAUGCAACGCGAAGAACCUUACCUGGUCUUGACAUCCACGGAAGUUUUCAGAGAUGAGAAUGUGCCUUCGGGAACCGUGAGACAGGUGCUGCAUGGCUGUCGUCAGCUCGUGUUGUGAAAUGUUGGGUUAAGUCCCGCAACGAGCGCAACCCUUAUCCUUUGUUGCCAGCGGUCCGGCCGGGAACUCAAAGGAGACUGCCAGUGAUAAACUGGAGGAAGGUGGGGAUGACGUCAAGUCAUCAUGGCCCUUACGACCAGGGCUACACACGUGCUACAAUGGCGCAUACAAAGAGAAGCGACCUCGCGAGAGCAAGCGGACCUCAUAAAGUGCGUCGUAGUCCGGAUUGGAGUCUGCAACUCGACUCCAUGAAGUCGGAAUCGCUAGUAAUCGUGGAUCAGAAUGCCACGGUGAAUACGUUCCCGGGCCUUGUACACACCGCCCGUCACACCAUGGGAGUGGGUUGCAAAAGAAGUAGGUAGCUUAACCUUCGGGAGGGCGCUUACCACUUUGUGAUUCAUGACUGGGGU